AUACCCCUGAGAGCCAGCUCCAGGAAAGCAAAGAUCCUGUCUGGAGGCCCCAGCAGAAUAGACUGUCGCUGGGCAUGGGCCUGCAGAAAAGACUAAGGCGGCAUUUUUCCAGUGGGGAGCUGUGGACCAGAAGCUCCACCCAUAUUCUGUAGAAGCAAGCCUGGGAGAGGCUGCCAACUUUCAUCACUGUCUUAGAGCUCUGGAUGCCCCAAGGAUGCCAAAAGCUUGUGCUAAAGGACCACUUGACUCGUCCAGCCCAGCAUUGGUUUGAAGUAUUUGGCCAAGAGGGCUACAGCACCAGAGAGCAUCUUGUGGAGUUGGGAACCCAGAGGGUUCACGAUGAGGGGCCAUCAACCAGGUCUUCCUGCUCCCUGGAGGCCAGGCGUGGGUGGCUUCUCAGGCCGUAGGAUCAAACAGAUGCAGUAAUCACGAGCGUGCACGCCUCCUCAGGAAGCCUCCACAUUCCAGGAGCAGCUCCAAACGCACUGAGUCAUCGCCCCACACCAACAGCUCCUUCCUCGGCAUCUCACACGUACCUCUCACAAACCACACGUCCCACACCCACAGCACCUCAUGCUGGCAUAUAUAGACCCUGACCUGUUAACAGUUAUUCUCACUUAUCCCCCUCCCACACGGUCCAAACAACUCCAGCUGCCGAGAAUCCCAGUGCUGCCUGCGGCGGCUACCCUGCGUCCUGUCCAAGGCUGAGAUUUCUAUGGGUCACCCUGCAGGAAUACAAGGAUGCCAGAAAACCCAUUCAUUGUAUUUCAAAAGUAUGGCUUUCCCUUAGCUAACACAUGGGAGCCCCCAAAAGCUCUGUUAGGCAACCGCUCCAACACAGAGCAAUCCCGAACAAAUCCACGAUGGAGAUGUGAAUCCAUGGUUCUUUGGGGCAAAAAGAAGCUAAACUCAUGAGUAUCGUCCUGUAGCAUAGCUCUCUGGGAGAAUAGGACGUGGAUACCUUAAGAACAUCUGGUCUCUAUCACAAAAUUGGGAGGGCAGUCUAGUCCACAGCCUUAGGCCCCCAGACAACUGGAACUGAACCCAGCGGGGAGCUGUCCAGACCCCUGCUGGAAGGCGGUCCCAGGUCCUCCUAGAAAUCUGGUCCUUUUAUGAGCCUCCCUCGGCAGGACUUUCAAGGAGCUCUAGAGGCAAGCUAGGGAAGCUUGCCUUCCCCUCCCACUCCCCCCACCUCCACCCCCAGCCCAGAGGCGUGUAUGGUCAUCUCUAAUGGAGGAGCCACUAGAAGAACGUGUCCUUUUCUUUUGCCCUCUCCAAGGCCUAAUUAAACCAGUUUCUUUUGAAUUUC
ensembl:processed_transcript